CCUUGGCAACCGCGACCCCUCCCCUCCGGGUUCCCAGCCGGCGCCUGCGCAGAGAAGGAGAGAGGACCGCGCAGCCCUGCGUUAGCAGCUCUUCCCCAAACCCGGGAAGAAAGUGGUCCAAAUGCGUUUUAAAAUCAUGUUUUGCUUCUAAUCGCGCCUUCCUGUGGUGUACCCUAGAUCUGGAUCUUUUUUUGUUUUACUUUGUUUCCCCUGGCCCAGUAUCCUUUAAUAAAUCCCUGUACAUGGAAGGUUGAGAAUUUCAAAUAAGAUGUAAACCCGGAGAUACCCGAGCGACAGUCGCGGUUACCUCCGUAUUACAGAGGAGAAAGGGGGUUUAGAAAGAUUCAGAGCACGACACAACACCCGCCAAGGGAGGGUCUGCUCUCGGAGGGGUUGGCCUCGACCUACCGCAGAAGUGAGCUGAACAAGCCCGGCUACGCAACGUACUACUGGAAUUCAGUUUUUAUACUAUUGAAUAAGUUGCUGUGUGUCCCAACUAGUCCAUUACAAGGCUGUGACCAGGGACGAAGACACUCUUCUCGGUGCUCCUGUCGCCAACAGUACCAGGAACUGAGCUCACGACCUCGCGCUUGCCAGGCAGAAUGACUGCUUUCUGCACACAAAGUUUUCUUCUUGUUCUGACUAAUAAAAGCUAAUUUUGAUUUGAAAAAAAAAAAAAUGCUGAGACAGGAGGAUUACAA